CUCUCAGUGAAGAACCACCACUCGGAAUGGCUGACACGCGUUCUGGACAUUGUCCUGGUCCUGCAAGAGCGUCUUUCGGCUUCCCCACUUUGGAAUCAGAAAACUAUUCGGUGGAAAGCAUUUGCUUUAUCUGUGAACUUCCCGCCUAAAACUGCCUGAACGUAAAAUGGUUUCUCUGCCAAGCAUGGUCAACGUACAUGUAUAAGCUCAUGAGUGAAUGGUUGCUCAGUUCUUCAUACAAGAGUUAUUAUUCCUGAGGUUCAGGUCAAUCUCCUCAUAAAUCAUCAUUGUCAUUGGCUGGAAUGGUGGAUUGAGAUCUUCUACCACCCUUGUGUUUCAUGUUACUGUCAACUGUACAAGGCCGGCCCAGCAGACUAUUGAAGACGCCCAACAUAAGCACUGUAGCAGGGAAUGUGUUGAAAAUUUACGAGGUUAAACGGAAACCCAUGUUGGUAACAGUCCUUUGACAUUCUCAGCACACAACAUGACAAAUCAGCAGUUCGACCGUUGUAGAUUUCCUAGGGAUAGUAGAGUUGCUGGAACUAUUUUCUCGCCCCGCCAUUUUGAGGGAAAGAUGGCCGAACUCUUGCCGUCAACCAAUAAAUUUUGAGGAGAGCAGGCUGAUUAGAGGAAGGAUUUGGAGUCGCUCAUUUCAGUGGUCAGCGGGUGUAAGUUAGAACAAAGUAAGAAUUCUAGGGUAAAGAACAUUGUUGAAGAAGAAAGCACGGAUAUCUAAAUCUAGCUCGUAUAUGGUUGUCAUUUACUGUGGGGUGAGAUGGAUCAUGUUGCCAAUUGAAAUGUUGUCAAUGUUGCUGUUGCAUUGGACAAACGGGUGGUGUUUAACAAAUGGAUGUGAAAGUUACACAAGCCAUAAUGGUAUUCAUGUAAAAGACUUAACAGCCAUGAAGAUGACAACUCAAAUAAACCUGUUGGACUGAAGGUGGUUGGUGAAGAAAAAAGGUCUUGUUCCAUUUCCAUACCAUCUUCUAAAAAAAACGAUUAAACAAAAGCACGUACGUCUAUUUUCUUUCAACGGCCGUAGUAGCAAAUCUGUUGUUGAAGGUCAACGUCGUGAAGUUCAUCUUUGUCGGACGCCCGUCAGCAGUACUGAGCUGCUCCUUCCUAAGAUGUUUUGUUGCAUAAAUUGCACGGCAAGGAGGAUUGAGAUAUCCGAGUGUUAAUGGAUAAGGAUAGUUACGCACAUAACCACCAGGGAAUAGGUGGAUUAGAUGAUUGUUCCGGGAAUUUGCAUCUGCUAUACAUAUACGACGAUUAUUCGGAUCGGGAAUGAUAGGUGGAAUGGAAUGAGAGCUUGUUUGAUAUGGGACAAAAUGGAAAUCUGACUAAAAACAUGAAAGCUGUGAGGAUGGGAUUUCUGUCUUUGAAAUGGUUGUUACAUUGCCGUGUGAAUGUACCCUGCACAUCUGUUUUCAGUCUGUCAUCUGUCGGCAGAUUAUUGAAGACGCCCAACGUAGGCACCGUAGUAGUGAAUGUGAUGAAAGCAAGGACUACACCAUUCGCGUUUUGAUGUCGUUAUUAAGUUCCAUUUUUUCUUAUUUAUUCGUAGCUGGGCCUAAUUUGUCGUUACGUGAAUUGUUUUCAUCAGGGUUAAACUACUAAAUACUACUUUUCCUAUCAUAUAUUAUACUACUAAUACAUACGGUAGGUAUUAAUUUACAAUAUUUCACCAUUUGUGUCGUAUACUUGUAAAUGUUUUAUUUAACAGAUUAUUGUUGCGGAGUCAACUACUAUGCAGAUUGGAGAAUUCCGGUUUAUUGUAUCGAAGUUGUGAGCGAUGAAUGGGGCAAUUAUUUAUUUGUCAAACAAUUGAAUGUUUUCAUGUCAUUUGUAGGUGUUGUUUUGCCAGUCGAGAACUUGAUAUUAUUCAAGCAGUAAUCAUAGUCUAGUGAUAUUUAAAACAGGUGUGUCUUUCUCUGAUGGAAGUAGUAUGGCAAAGAUUGAUAAUAAUCUUCAUAUAGUCGGAUCAUUUGUUAAGCGAAAGAGAUUUCUUGGAUUAAUCAUCACCAAUUAGAUCAAUUUGAAAGGAUGGUAUACGGAGAGGAAAGUUAUUGGAAAUUAAGAGGGUAGAAGAAAAAUGUUCGAAUCCGUUUGCUGUUCGAAGUCGUUGCAAAUAUUAAGAAAUUAUGAAAAUUUGUAUAAUUAUGUGAGAAUUUUGUGCAAUUGUUACCUAAAAUGUUUAAUAGUUUCUUGGUUGUUUUCCAAUCGCCAUUCCGUGGCUGGCCGUUGGUUAGCAGCUUUAGUAUUUGUUACUAUUCCAUUAUUAACUUUCACGCAGCCAAUAACAGGUGUGUUAUAUUAA